GCUUUCGUGGUGUAGUGGUCAGCACGCUCGACGCGUAACCGAGAGGUCCGUGGUUCGAUUCCCGGCGAGGGCA
rfam:Stegodyphus mimosarum contig50685, whole genome shotgun sequence.